ACCCGUAGCUCUCGUCUCUCUUCUACUCCUCUCUCGUCUUAGACACAUCGCGACACAAGUCACACCACCCGUAGCUCUCUUCUACUCUUCUCUCGAGUCUCGAUAUCGCUGGCUCCUCGACAAGUCAUCUCUUCUCCACAAGUUGGCUUCUGUUCGACAUCGCUGUCUCCUCGACAGACUUCAAUCGACAUGGAUAGCUUCAAUUAGGCACUCAAACUCAUUUGCUGGCUCUUCGACAUCGAUUUGGUUGACAGUUUGACACUCUCUUCGACGGACUUCUCACAUCACUCAAACUCAAAAGGUUCUGAUGAAGGGAUUUAUGCUUGGGUUGUUGCAAAUUAUUGCCUUGGCACUCUUGGGCAGGAUCCUCAUCAAACAACCGGGAUUAUUGAACUUGGUGGGGCCUCUGCUCAGGUUCAAUUUCCUUUUCCCUUUUUGUUGGUGGAUUGUAUUUGUGAAAAAUGUGGAUCAUAUUACAUGAGACAUGGACAUGGACCAGUGUAACAUAUUCUGGUAGGAUGCAUAUCUGGAAUAAAUUAUUGGCCUAAACUUUUGUACAGCAAUUUCUCAUGGAACAUAUGGAAGAUCUCCAAGGAUACUCAAUUUUGGAGAACGACAUUGUUCAUUCUGCACUUAGAAUAGUCGGAGCUCUAUGUUUCACUUCUUCCUGAAGUAGAUGAACACCAUCUCAAGAUAUUGGAUGCUGUUAAAAGCAGUCUACUGGGUGGAGUGCUUUUUAAUUGGUGCUUUCACCUUGAGAACCAGUUAAAGAGCUAAAGUUUUGCAUGCUGAUAGAAAUGUGGUGACCUUCAUUUCAAGUGAGCCAGUGCCCCCUGAAUUCUCUCAUAUAGUUAAAUAUGGGAAUAUCACUUACAAUCUCUACAGUCACAGCUUGCUUCAUUUUGGUCAGGAAAAUGGUCAUUAACUAGUGUUAGUCCUAUCUAUGAUGGAUGAUAGAAGGGUAGCCUGGACACAAACCCUUCCUUCAGUAUAAACUUGCUCAGUUCGACAAUUCGCAGGUCUUAAUUCAGCUUCUUGCUCUUGGAAGUACCAUUGCUUCAAGCAAUAGUGCACAACAAGUAGGGCUGCAAAUGAGUAUAGCCAAGCCGUGCUUACCUUGUUCGGGCUCGGCUUGAGCUUGGGCGAGCUUUGUUCAAGCCAAGCUCAAGUUCGGCUCGUCAAAAUUUUGGCAAGCUCGGGCUUGGCUCAAGCUCACCUACAUAUUUAACAACAUACAAAAAAAAAUAUUGAUAAAUAAAAUAAAAAAUCGAAGAGAUUCAGAUUUGUACAGUAAUGUAUUCGAAGAAGGAAGAAAAUCGUUGUCCUCCCUUUCGCUAACCUCCCAUUUCCGAUCAUCUUCCUCAAGAAGACAACGGCGAGUCGGUGAUAAUGAUUCUAUCAACACUGAUUAGGAGUCUUCACCCAGGAAGUUUGACCGUCAUACAAGUCUAUAAAUCAAGAUAAACUCCAAGUGUCUUGGAUAAAGAUGAGCAUACGUUCCUUGGAUAAAGAUGAGCAUACGUUCCCCCUCCAUGUUGGAAAAGUAAGAGGUGUAACACUCCUAUUUUAAUGCAACUUGACACCUCUAUAAAGGGGGCUUUCGGGUCAAUAGAAAAGGUACGACACAAGUCCCUAGGCCGGUACUACACCGGUGCCCUCCCGAUCAUCCUUUUUCUUCUUUUUUUCCCACAGACGGUACUAACUGUUGAUGUAGGAUUCCGCAGCAACCUGAAGCGACGUCGUACUUAGAAAAGAAAGGAGAAAAUGGAUGAUCGGGAGGGCACCAGUGUGGUAUUGGGCUAAGAGCCUCCAACGAUCAAGUUAGUACUAGAUCGGCCGGUACCACAGACUGCACCAACUGUUGAUGCAGGAUUCCACGGCGACCUGAAUCGACGUCGUACCUGGCUAACCGUUUAUAGGUUGAUUCAUGGAUCUAAAAAUGAUCCAAAGUCAUUUUUGAUGAAUAAAGAAGGGUAGUAUAUGAAGAUUUCAGGUCCAAAAUUGUCAAUUUAUCAUCACUAUCCUCAAAUGGGAGGGGUAUCUGCAUAUAUAUAUUUUUAAUAGUAUAAGGGGUUUUGUAUAAAAACAAAAGUUUAGGGAAGUUUUCUACAAAAUCAUGAAAGUUGAGGGCUUUUUUUUUUUUUUUUUUUUUUUUUUCAGUUUACCCUAUUAUUAUUAUUAUUAUUAUUUAACAAGUGAAUUCCUAUUUUAUCUUCUUUUUCUCUUUUGUUAUUUUUUUUCCCUUCACUUUCCCUUUGUUACCAAAAUAUGAUCUAUAACCCCCUUUUAUUGGAAAUCAUUGCUGCUUGUUUACUACUAGAUUAGAUCAUCCAACUCUUAACCAUCAACCAUGCCAUUUAUACUUUGUACAUGAAAUUGCAAUCAACUUUUAUCUAUGUAAAGAAUAUUUUCUUGAAAAUUAAGGACUGGAUUUAAACUACACAAACUGAAAUGGAACAAUGGCUGAGUCCACUGAGUUGUAUCUUGGCCAAUUUGUGUCUCCAUUUAAGCAGUGUUUGGAGUUAAGGACACAACUUUUUCCCCAGGUGAGCUUCAAAGGAAAACAAAGCACGUUACAAUCCCAAGGGGUGGUUUGCCAGUGGCAAGGUCACUUGGCCCUGGUGCCCCAUAAAGCAUUAGAUUUGAGGUUCGACUUGCACUGAAUACAAACAAUUUGAUUUGGGAGCCACCCCAGGUUAAUCUAAAAAAUACAUACAUUACACUAAUUUACCCUGUUCCUAGAAUUUGACUUUUUUUUUCUUUCUUGGCCUUGUGGCUAAAAAUCAAGCGUAGUACAUGUUCUUAUCAGU